rnacentral:rRNA from 1 species
UAGUCCACGCCGUAAACGAUGGUCACUAGCUGUUUGGACUUCGGUCUGAGUGGCUAAGCGAAAGUGAUAAGUGACCCACCUGGGGAGUACGUUCGCAAGAAUGAAACUCAAAGGAAUUGACAGGGGCCCGCACAAGCGGUGGAGCAUGUGGUUUAAUUCGAUGAUACGCGAGGAACCUUACCAGGGCUUAAAUGUAAGUUGCAUAGAUCAGAGAUGGUCAUUUCUUCGGACUACUUACAAGGUGCUGCAUGGUUGUCGUCAGCUCGUGCCGUGAGGUGUCAGGUUAAGUCCUAUAACGAGCGCAACCCCUGUUGUUAGUUGCCAUCGAGUAAUGUCGGGAACUCUAACAAGACUGCCGGUGCAAACCGCGAGGAAGGUGGGGAUGACGUCAAAUCAUCACGGCCCUUACGUCCUGGGCUACGACACGUGCUACAAUGGUAGGUACAGAGAGCAGCCACUGGGUGACCAGGAGCGGAAAUCUAUAAAACCCUAUACACAGUUCGG